rnacentral:rRNA from 1 species
AUUGAACGCUGGCGGCAGGCCUAACACAUGCAAGUCGAAUGGUAACAGGAAACAGCUUGCUGUUUCGCUGACGAGUGGCGGACGGGUGAGUAAUGUCUGGGAAACUGCCUGAUGGAGGGGGAUAACUACUGGAAACGGUAGCUAAUACCGCAUAACGUCGCAAGACCAAAGAGGGGGACCUUCGGGCCUCUUGCCACCAGAUGUGCCCAGAUGGGAUUAGCUAGUAGGUGGGGUAACGGCUCACCUAGGCGACGAUCCCUAGCUGGUCUGAGAGGAUGACCAGCCACACUGGAACUGAGACACGGUCCAGACCCCUACGGGAGGCAGCAGUGGGGAAUAUUGCACAAUGGGCGCAAGCCUGAUGCAGCCAUGCCGCGUGUAUGAAGAAGGCCUUCGGGUUGUAAAGUACUUUCAGCGGGGAGGAAGGGAGUAAAGUUAAUACCUUUGCUCAUUGACGUUACCCGCAGAAGAAGCACCGGCUAACUCCGUG